rnacentral:sRNA from 2 species
AUACUAUAUUAGCCGAAGUAAAAAAUACGCGGAGGAACCAAGCAUCUGGGGUGAAUCACUAAUUGUGUAGGUUAAACCUUUCCCGAACCCGUCAGCUAACUCCGCAGGCAAAAGGAGAGAAAAA